AUUGAACGCUGGCGGAAUGCUUUACACAUGCAAGUCGAACGGUAGAGGGGGGCAACCCCCUUGAGAGUGGCGAACGGGUGUGUAAUAUAUCGGAACGUGCCCAGUCGUGGGGAUAACGUAGCGAAAGUUACGCUAAUACCGCAUACGAUCUAAGGAUGAAAGCGGGGGACUCGCAAGAGCCUCGCGCGAUUGGAGCGGCCGAUAUCAGAUUAGGUAGUUGGUGGGGUAAAGGCUCACCAAGCCAACGAUCUGUAGCUGGUCUGAGAGGACGACCAGCCACACUGGAACUGAGACACGGUCCAGACUCCUACGGGAGGCAGCAGUGGGGAAUAUUGGACAAUGGGCGAAAGCCUGAUCCAGCAAUGCCGCGUGAGUGAUGAAGGCCUUAGGUUGUAAAGCNCUUUUACCCGGGAUGAUAAUGACAGUACCGGAGAAUAAGACUCCGGCUAACUCCGUGCCAGC
rnacentral:rRNA from 1 species